GGGGAUGACAGGCUUCGACGGAGGAAGCUGAUCCCGGACUGCAAGUCGAGAGGUACCGACAUCGUAAACUCAGUACACAAAACAAGUGCCAAUCGCACAAACACAUAUGCUGCUAUGCCCCUCGCUGCUUAGUGAGUAAGUAGUAGCUAAAUGGAUCUUACGGGAUCCACGUCCGCCUACCCCGUCCCCUAAUCGGUGGUAAAGUGGGCGUCACAAGAUUAGGGUGCCGGUCAGCAUUCAGCGUUCUGAUCGAAAGAGAGCUCUCGGGCUCAAGCUGAUAGUGCCUUUUCAGUUUUGUCGGUUCGCUGAUCUGGUUAGGAAACGAUGAACCAACUAAACUUGUAGAUGUUCGAUGAUCUAAUCUUUCGGACGCGGGUUCAAUUCCCGCCAUCUCCACAA
rnacentral:tmRNA from 1 species